UACGGGGGGAGCAAGCGUUGUUCGGAUUUACUGGGCGUAAAGGGCGCGUAGGCGGUCGUGACAAGUCACUUGUGAAAUCUCCGGGCUUAACUCGGAACGGUCAAGUGAUACUGUCGGACUAGAGUACAGAAGGGGCAACUGGAAUUCUCGGUGUAGCGGUGAAAUGCGUAGAUAUCGAGAGGAACACCUGCGGCGAAGGCGGGUUGCUGGGCUGAUACUGACGCUGAGGAGCGAAAGCGUGGGUAGCAAACAGG
rnacentral:rRNA from 1 species